GUUCAGACUGGAAGACCGUUAGUUGCUUACCUAUUUAAUAAUUUUCUUAAACAUAGUAUUAGAGAUUAUUUACAUACCUACCUAAGAUUGUUGGCAAAAUCAAUGUUAAACAUUACUUUAAAUAACAAAUUCCUUACUAAAAAUAAAGGAAAGGUUUCCGUAUUUACUUUCGUUCCGUACUUUCUUUGUGUGUUAAAUGUAUAGUACCAUAUAGAUAAUUAUUACCUCUUGUUAGUUGGUGGGUACCAAAUCUGGUUAUUUUUAUUCAUUGCCAACAGUACUAUAUAUACCUACAAAACCAUUUUGUCUCUUUAUUUUAGUGAAAAGCAAGAAGUUAUGCUUGUAUUUAAUUCUAAAUAGUACCACACGCUUGGUACCUACUGCAUUUUGUAAUUCGUAAAUGAGGAUUUUUUUUUUACAUUUUGAUGUGAAAGGUGUGAUUAGCAAAUUAAAUUUAUUUUACAUUGUAUUUAACUAGACUACAUACUCUUUUUCUAGAAGGUGAUUAAUUUUAAUUGUUCAUAGUUCUUACCUAAUGAUAAUAGUUGAAGUAAUUUAAAGUACCUACAGCCAGUCGUAAGAAUUGGUGUCUUGUUUUCUAAAUUACCUAUUUUAUUCUUCCUACCUUAACGAUAUUGAAGUUUGAUGUUGUAAAUUUAGUACAAAUAUUUAUGUAGGUAUUUUAAUUGAGUUUUACUACAGAAAGUUAAACAUGUAAAGAGCAUACAGGGUGAUUCUAAAAAAUGUUAAAAAUAAUAAUUUAACCUAACUUUUAUAUUUAAAUAAUUGGGUGAUCGUUUGGACCUUUUAUUGUUUAAAUUAGUCCAGCGUGCACAUUUAAUAUUAUUCGUGGGUUUCCUUUGUGGUUGAGAAUACUUUAGAAUAAAUAUUUUGUUGUGAAAGUGAUCGUGAUCUAAGUUGUUUACGAGGCGUUAUCUUUAUUACCUACUUUCCGGUGGGUUAGAUUUAACACAAGUUUUUCCAUAUUGUUGUUACGUUAAGGAGUAGGUAUUCAUUUAUUAGCAGUUAUCGGUGAUAGGUAGUUUUUUUGUUUUGAUGUAUAGUAGGCGUUUUUUUAUGUGUUUGAAGUGGGAGUUAAGUACAUUGUGUCCGGAUGGUACUAAUACGUCCGUACACAAGUAUUACCUUUUCGAUGUUUGGUGGUGAGUGGACGAUUUAAAAGUUCUCUUCACGUAGUUUUCUGGGUGCUGGCGUUUUAAACCAGCAUUUCAGCUUCACUGGCUGGUCGGAUUCUUGCGGAUUUAAACGGAGAAUUCUUAAUAGCAGUGUUGUACCCUUGUUGAUGCUUUGCGAUAUGACUUAAAUCAUAUGCGUGAACGUUGGCGUUCUUUUGUGUUGUCGGACCGACAGACUUGCGUCGCCUGAGACGCGGUCUGUACAGUCAACCCUUGUACUUAUGUCUAAUGUUGUGUCGAAACGUUCCGUCUUGUGUCGUACAUAGACGCAGCCGGUAUAUACGCUUCGUUGUUCUGGUGUUAUUGUCUGUUCUUUGUAUUCUUAGCUGUCACCGAUAUUUGUUAGGGAAAUUUCAUUUAGCUAUAAGCCGUCUUCCGUUAUAUCGCUUGGACGUACAGCCCGCUGUCUGGUAUAGCUCGCUGUGCCGCCAAGAAAUAUAGACGAUGCGACGUAAUGUAGUAAUUUACCUAAAAAAAAAAAGGGGCUAUUCUUAUCUGGUUUAGUGCGUGGGUUCGAUUUGGAUGGUUUUUUUGUUAUCGAUUAUAGAUUUCGAGUUGUAGCUGUUAUAUUACCCAUAUUUCCUGUAGUUUGGAGCUGGGGACCAGCUCAAAAUUUUGCCUGCGUCAAAAUUUUCUCUGGGGAGGGGAGUACUGUAACAAUAUUUUUUCAAACCUCGUAGGUAUAUUUUUAUUUAGCUGAUAUUAUACUCAAGUAACUAUUGGUUUCGUACAGGCAGAGCCAUCUAUCGGCAGGAUUGUAUUGAUAACCCAGUUUGCUGUUAGCUAGAAUGACAAAAGAUGGCGUGUCGAUCGUCGUUAAUUUAUUUCCUUCCAAAAUCCCUUUUGAAUUUUCAUUUAUUAAAAAUAAAACUCAAUUUAUUAUUGUAUUGUUAGUUUUCGUUCCUUUUUGGAAAUAUUUUAUUACCCUCUUUAAGACAGAAGUUAAAGUUGUUGUCUAUAGGCGAAUGCAUCUCGUCACGUAUCUGUGGGCCGAGCUGUCAGCCGACACUUUGCAUAUUGGAAAGGAUGUAGACGGGUGGUUUUCAAAUUCUUCAGGGCCAAUGCGCCACAUUCUAAUUUUUAAAUCGCGAAUUAAUCGCAUAAUCGUAAGUAUUUUCUUCCAUAUUCGAAUGCAGUUUGUUGUGUUACGUUCAGUGCUAAUUCUUGUGUCCAUUAUUUUCAGAUGAUUUUAUUUUUAUAAAAUUACUGAGGACCCCUUCCAUUGACAUGAUUGCACGGAACCACAAGCCGGCUUCUUUUCUGGAAUGGGUCCUCAGAUUUGGAGGUUAACGUUCGAAGACAGAGCAGAGCUGAUGCUUCCCGAGCCUGGACCGGUGGACAGGAGGCUGUGACGAUCGGUAUGGAAGAGCUCCCAUUCCGUGGCUGCAGCGGCCACCUCUCCUCAACUCGGUUAGACGUCCCCAAGGUCAGAGCGUUCCUCGU
rnacentral:lncRNA from 1 species